rnacentral:tRNA from 1 species
UCCCUGAUGGCUCAGAUGGUAAAGCGUCUGCCUGCCAUCCGGGGAACCCAGGUUCGAUUCCUGGGCUGGGAA